AAAAGCAGUGAAUAUACUGGAAGAACUCUGGCUCAGUGAAUUUGCCAAUGAGAAUCAGCAAGGCCUAAGAUGAAUUUUUUGAAGUGAUCAUUCGGUUAUUUAUAUAACUGUGUGAACAAACAGAUAUUCUUAACAAUGCGGGGUCCCCAAAUGCUCCCAUCAGUGGGUUUCUUGAAGAACUUUAUUUUUUCAAACCACAAUUCUUUCAAUAAAUAAAUUUCUGUAAUCUAUGGAAACCCGGGGUAAGAGAGGUGGCGUAGAUAGGUGAUACAGACGCCUCUGAACCAGCCCCUCUCAGCUGUUCAAUAUGUUUAAUUUUAGGUGGGGCUAUAGGAGGGAGGAAAGAAGGGAGUGACAGGUUUUCUCAUUUUUCAAAUUAUUCUUUGGCAAAGAACAAGUUAAACAUUUUACUAAGACUAUAUAUCAACAUUUUACUAGACUUAUUUUAUGAAGAAUAGUGAACGUGUAGCAAACUUGAAUUUCCAAAGCGAAACAUAUGGAUAAAAGUGAAGGCCGGGUGCGGUGGCUCACACCUGUAAUCCCAGCACUUUGGGAUGUCAAGGCGGGCAGACUGUUUGAGCUCUGGAGUUUGGGACCAGCCUGGCUAACAUGGUAAAACCCCAUCUCUACCAAAAAUACAAAAAAUUAGCUGGGAAUGGUGGUGCAUGCCUGUAGUCCCAGCUACUGGGGAGGCUGAGGUGGGAGGAUUGCUUGAGCCCAGGAGGUGGUUGCAGUAAGCUGAGAUCACACCACUGUACUCUAGCUCCAGCCUGGGUGACAGAGUGAGGCCCCAUCUCAAAAAAAGAAAGUGAAAACAAUCCUGAAUUGGUGGUUUACAUCUUCUUGUUGGAAUUCUUACAUAAAAAAACACAACCUGCUUGAUUUGAUUAUUGACAAAAAGGGCGAUGUUAACAGGAAUAAGUGACUUAUUUUGAAAAUCUCUUAGGGAAUAAGAAGGUUCUACUUAACAAGUGUAACUCAGAAUGCACCAGUAGUGCCGUGGGUUUUACAGAAGAAACUGGAACUGAUUUUUCACAGCAGUUCUUUAAAUAAGCGGGGAUGGGGAGUGGCAGCAGAGCAACCCCAGGAACAGCAAGUGGGGUUUGUUCACUGAAGACUGUGACAGAUUUUAGUGAUCACCACCGCCUGGGAGUUUGCCCACUGGGAUUUUAUUUUUCUUUUUUGGGGGUCUAGAAUCCAGCAGAAAGGCUAUUCAAUCUUUCUGCUGCCAUAAGAAAAAAACAUGCUGGGUCUAUCACCAGAUGGCCUCUGAAUGGGCUAGGACACUGCUGAGACUGGCCUAGCUAUGAACACUGUUGUGUUCUACACCCCACAAGGUCUUUCCAGACAAGUGUGCAAGUAACUAGAGAAAGAGGAAAACAUGCACAGGUGCUUUGAAUCAUGUAAACUGCCGAAUACUAAGGUACCUGAUCCUUUACAAGAAUGGACAUUCACAAUGUUUUAGCUCCUGAGCAGCCUCUCAGGCCUCUCGUGCCUGGAGACGAGGGCAGGUGAAGACAACCCUAACCCAAGACACUGGCUCCCUGUGGUCUGUGCUCUGCAAAUAAAGCUGGUGGAAACAUCACAGAUGACGAGUCGUGGGAGAAAAGGCGAGGGGCACAGCUGAGAUCCAUUUUCAAUAUCUGAGUAAUACUCUUGCCUUGGCUCCUUAGUAGAAAGGCUGCAAAGAGAUGGUCACCUGCUGGUGAUUAUUUAGGGGAAGAUCAGAGGUAAGAUGUGAGCCUUCCUCUGAGAGGCUUACCCUGGAAGUGUUUCCUUCUAGGAGUGCUUGAAAAACAUACAGCUUAUGCAUCAAAUUCUAAGCAAUAGUCAUAAGGACCCUCUGGAGUCCAGCCAAGAACCAGGAUUCAGGAAGCAAAGGUUCUGGAUGUCCAACUGGAUGUCAGAGCUUCCCAAGAGCUUCACUUCCCCAAGGGCCUGCCCACUCUCACCUAUUUCCAGGACUGGCCUUUUGGCCGAGUAUAGGGAUUCCCAUUCCCUGACAGAUCAGAAAUCACCAACUAGUACCCGGUUGGUUGGGGGCACAUGCGCUGGAGCCAGAAAUGUGACUUUGGCCUGUGAAAGAGGGAGGGGAAUGCUAAGAAUUCAAAAAGUCUGGAAGGAAACUGGGUCCCACAGUCACCCAACAGAUCCCAAGGGCCCCACUGGCCAAGCACCCAGGACAACAGCUGCUGCUUACUGCGAUGGGCUGCAUCUGAGUGUGCUCCUAAGAUGGGGUGUGUGUGCGCAACAUAUCUCUGGGGGAUUUCCACUAGACAGAAUGGGAUGAUUCAGUUAUCUGGACAUUUUGAAAGAAUUGCUUAAUCCCUGAUAAUGAGCAAAGUGUUUUUCUACUGUGCAGAUACUUUGAUGUCAGAAUAACUGAUAUUACCACUUUCAGUGUGGUCCAGAGGGCACACUGUCUUUCAUGUACACUGCAUAAACGUUUCCACUGGACAGCAGGCGUUUCUCCCACAGAAGCGCUCUUCUGAAAAGUCCUGCAUCAACACCUGCACCACCAGCUGGGGAACUCCAGGGAGCCCGAACAACUACUAUGGGAUGUGCCCUGACUUGGGCCUGGGACUGGCACCAAGCAGAGAACCUCAUUUCCUGGGUCAGAGGGGGCAGGAAUUAGCUGCUGGCCUCCUGCCCUGCCUAGAGAGGAAGCCUAGUGCUCAGCUGGCAAGUUCCUCUGACACUAGGCAGAGGAAAAGUGUGAAGCUGCAGUACCUCCCUCUCCCAGGCCCUGAGAGGUGGGGAUUAAUGUGUCUCCUGGACAAGCCCUGAGCUCCUGAGAUGCCAUCAUUCUCUUUAACCAAUCUCACCCUUCCUGCUCUGUGUGGCCUGUUAGCCAGGGGCCACCCUCAAGUCUAAGGAAGCUGGCAGUUAAGUUUGAGAGUGUUAGGCAGGCAGCAAAUGAAACUAGACAGACAUUUAUUUUGUGUUUGAUUUCACUGGUUCAAAUGUCUACAUGCUGGAGUAAAUCCACUUGCCUCUCUUCAGGGCUUUUCCUCUGCAGUAUUCUAUGCAUUCUGGGAGGCUUCACAACAUCUAGGCAGGGCCAACAUUCGUGAAA
rnacentral:lncRNA from 10 species